rnacentral:tRNA from 1 species
GCACUCUUAGCUCAGUUGGUUAGAGCAAUUCACUCAUAAUGAAAAGGUCACAGGUUCAAGUCCUGUAGGGUGCA